rnacentral:lncRNA from 1 species
GUCUCAGUGGCUGACGAAGAUUUAGUCACCUUUGCAAUUUUCUGCCCUUUUUUAGCUCUUGGAACCGUCGCAGUAACAUCGCUGCUUUCUCCUUUCUAAACUUGAUAUUCCCAUUUACAUUCAGGACCAAAAGCAUAAUCAGGUAACCAAUUUCUGGGUUUUUUGCACAAUCCCAAAAGAAUCUCUGCUGUCACAUUAUUAUCCCUGUAUAGCCAAGCCUCAUUACAUGGCUUUACCUCAUCGAGUUGAGUUUCGCCAAGAGAAUUGAAGUCCACAUCAUCCCAACCAUUAGGACUUUUCUCCAUCAAGUAGAACUGCCAAACAUUUCUCAG